rnacentral:tRNA from 1 species
GUGGUUCAGUGGUAGAAUUCUCACCUUCCAUGUGGAAGACCUGGGUUUGGUUCCCAGC